AAGCAAUGAUGAGUGAAGUAUUCUCUGAACUGGUAUUGCCGAGACUUUGCGUCUUUGCUCUGACCAGGGCAUGAUCACGUAAUCUUCUCUCUGAGCUU
ensembl:snoRNA